rnacentral:misc_RNA from 1 species
ACUGGAAGAGAUGCAGAUCUAGGAACAUAUCUAGCUUCCCUAACAGAUGCAUUGAGGGGACUUGAUGAUGACGGGAAGUUGUUUCCACCAAUCAUACUGGAGGAACCCUGGACUGCCAAGUUUGCACCAGCCACUGGGAGCACUGAGUUCAAUGCACACUGACUUGAAAUAGAUAAUCCACCUGGGCGCGGACCUUGGCAUCCAACAGAGAGAUAGUCUGGACUAGGCAAGGGUGCAUCAUCAAAUAGGUCCAAAGGUGUAAGAAUAGGUCCUCCACUCAGAUUGUUUGGACAAAUUUGUGAAAGAGCAUGUGUGUGAGAAUCAUGUGGUUGCUGGAGAUGUCUUGGAUCAUGUUUAUAACCCUGA